rnacentral:rRNA from 1 species
CUGGUGAGUAACACGUGGAUAACCUACCUAUAAGACUGGGAUAACUUCGGGAAACCGGAGCUAAUACCGGAUAAUAUAUUGAACCGCAUGGUUCGAUAGUGAAAGACGGUUUUGCUGUCACUUAUAGAUGGAUCCGCGCCGCAUUAGCUAGUUGGUAAGGUAACGGCUUACCAAGGCAACGAUGCGUGGCCGACCUGAGAGGGUGAUCGGCCACACUGGAACUGAGACACGGUCCAG